rnacentral:lncRNA from 1 species
UCAUGUGUUAGACAGUUCACGAUUGUGUAUUAGUUAAGGUUACUCGAUUUUUGGAAUAGUGUGUAAAGUUUAAUGUAUAAGCAAUCUAUGUUUAUAUCUUCCGCAAACAGUUGUAGAAAUAGCGAAUCGGAUCCGCGGCGAUUCGGGACCCGGAUCUGGGGCUGCUACAAGAUGUAUUUAAAUGGUUGGUUUAGUUUUAUUUAACUAUUUAAAUUGAUUAAGUGGGGAAUUAUUCUAUUUAUUACGUGGG